rnacentral:rRNA from 1 species
UGGGGGAUAUUGCACAAUGGGCGAAAGCCUGAUGCAGCGACGCCGCGUGGGGGAUGAAGGCCUUCGGGUUGUAAACUUCUUUUGCUCUGAACAAGGCAUGCUAAUGGGUGUGUUGAGUGUGGGGGUUGAUUAGCGCCGGCUAACUACGUGCCAGCAGCCGCGGUAAUACGUAGGGCGCGAGCGUUGUCCGGAAUUAUUGGGCGUAAAGGGCUUGUAGGUGGCUGGUUGCGUCUGUCGUGAAAGCUCAUGGCUUAACUGUGGGUUUGCGGUGGGUACGGGCUGGCUUGAGUGCAGUAGGGGAGGCUGGAAUUCCUGGUGUAGCGGCGGAAUGCGCAGAUAUCAGGAGGAAUACCGGUGGCGAAGGCGGGUCUCUGGGCUGUUACUGACACUGAGGAGCGAAAGCAUGGGGAGCGAACAGG